rnacentral:rRNA from 1 species
CCUACGGGUGGCAGCAGUGGGGAAUAUUGCACAAUGGGGGAAACCCUGAUGCAGCGACGCCGCGUGAGUGAAGAAGUAAUUCGUUAUGUAAAGCUCUAUCAGCAGGGAAGAAAAUGACGGUACCUGAGUAAGAAGCCCCGGCUAACUACGUGCCAGCAGCGGCGGUAAUACGGAGGGGGCAAGCGUUAUCCGGAUUUACUGGGUGUAAAGGGGGCGUAGACGGGAGUGCAAGUCUGGAGUGAAAGGCGGGGGUUCAACCGCCGGAUUGCGCUGGAAACUGUAAGGCUGGAGUGCAGGAGAGGUAAGUGGAAUUCCUGGUGUAGCGGUGAAAUGCGUAGAUAUUAGGAGGAACACCAGUGGCGAAGGCGGCUUACUGGACUGUAACUGACAUUGAGGCUCGAAAGCGUGGGGAGCAAACAGGAUUAGAUACCCCUGUAGUC